rnacentral:rRNA from 1 species
UUAAGCGACUAAGCGUACACGGUGGAUGCCCUGGCAGUCAGAGGCGAUGAAGGACGUGCUAAUCUGCGAAAAGCGUCGGUAAGGUGAUAUGAACCGUUACAGCCGGCGAUGUCCGAAUGGGGAAACCCAGUGCAAUUCGUUGCACUAUCGUUAACUGAAUACAUAGGUUAACGAGGCGAACCGGGGGAACUGAAACAUCUAAGUACCCCGAGGAAAAGAAAUCAACCGAGAUUCCCCCAGUAGCGGCGAGCGAACGGGGAGCAGCCCAGAGUCUGAAUCAGCUUGUGUGUUAGUGGAACGGUCUGGAAAGUCCGACGGUACAGGGUGAUAGUCCCGUACACCAAAAUGCACAGGUUGUGAACUCGAAGAGUAGGGCGGGACACGUGGUAUCCUGUCUGAAUAUGGGGGGACCAUCCUCCAAGGCUAAAUACUCCUGACUGACCGAUAGUGAACCAGUACCGUGAGGGAAAGGCGAAAAGAACCCCGGCGAGGGGAGUGAAAAAGAACCUGAAACCGUGUACGUACAAGCAGUGGGAGCACCUUCGGGUGUGACUGCGUACCUUUUGUAUAAUGGGUCAGCGACUUAUAUUCUGUAGCAAGGUUAACCGUAUAGGGGAGCCGCAGGGAAACCGAGUCUUAACUGGGCGUUAAGUUGCAGGGUAUAGACCCGAAACCCGGUGAUCUAGCCAUGGGCAGGUUGAAGGUUGGGUAACACUAACUGGAGGACCGAACCGACUAAUGUUGAAAAAUUAGCGGAUGACUUGUGGCUGGGGGUGAAAGGCCAAUCAAACCGGGAGAUAGCUGGUUCUCCCCGAAAGCUAUUUAGGUAGCGCCUCGUGAACUCAUCUUCGGGGGUAGAGCACUGUUUCGGCUAGGGGGUCAUCCCGACUUACCAACCCGAUGCAAACUACGAAUACCGAAGAAUGUUAUCACGGGAGACACACGGCGGGUGCUAACGUCCGUCGUGAAGAGGGAAACAACCCAGACCGCCAGCUAAGGUCCCAAAGUCAUGGUUAAGUGGGAAACGAUGUGGGAAGGCACAGACAGCCAGGAUGUUGGCUUAGAAGCAGCCAUCAUUUAAAGAAAGCGUAAUAGCUCACUGGUCGAGUCGGCCUGCGCGGAAGAUGUAACGGGGCUAAACCAUGCACCGAAGCUGCGGCAGCGACACUAUGUGUUGUUGGGUAGGGGAGCGUUCUGUAAGCCUGCGAAGGUGUGCUGUGAGGCAUGCUGGAGGUAUCAGAAGUGCGAAUGCUGACAUAAGUAACGAUAAAGCGGGUGAAAAGCCCGCUCGCCGGAAGACCAAGGGUUCCUGUCCAACGUUAAUCGGGGCAGGGUGAGUCGACCCCUAAGGCGAGGCCGAAAGGCGUAGUCGAUGGGAAACAGGUUAAUAUUCCUGUACUUGGUGUUACUGCGAAGGGGGGACGGAGAAGGCUAUGUUAGCCGGGCGACGGUUGUCCCGGUUUAAGCAUGUAGGCUGGUUAUCCAGGCAAAUCCGGAUAACCAAGGCUGAGGUGUGAUGACGAGGCACUACGGUGCUGAAGUAACAAAUGCCCUGCUUCCAGGAAAAGCCUCUAAGCAUCAGGUAACAUUAAAUCGUACCCCAAACCGACACAGGUGGUCAGGUAGAGAAUACCAAGGCGCUUGAGAGAACUCGGGUGAAGGAACUAGGCAAAAUGGUGCCGUAACUUCGGGAGAAGGCACGCUGGUGUGUAGGUGAAGUCCCUGCGGAUGGAGCUGAGACCAGUCGAAGAUACCAGCUGGCUGCAACUGUUUAUUAAAAACACAGCACUGUGCAAACACGAAAGUGGACGUAUACGGUGUGACGCCUGCCCGGUGCCGGAAGGUUAAUUGAUGGGGUUAUCCGUAAGGAGAAGCUCUUGAUCGAAGCCCCGGUAAACGGCGGCCGUAACUNUUGGUGCCUUCGGGAACUGUGAGACAGGUGCUGCAUGGCUGUCGUCAGCUCGUGUUGUGAAAUGUUGGGUUAAGUCCCGCAACGAGCGCAACCCUUAUCCUUUGUUGCCAGCGGUCCGGCCGGGAACUCAAAGGAGACUGCCAGUGAUAAACUGGAGGAAGGUGGGGAUGACGUCAAGUCAUCAUGGCCCUUACGACCAGGGCUACACACGUGCUACAAUGGCAUAUACAAAGUGAAGCGACCUCGCGAGAGCAAGCGGACCUCAUAAAGUAUGUCGUAGUCCGGAUUGGAGUCUGCAACUCGACUCCAUGAAGUCGGAAUCGCUAGUAAUCGUAGAUCAGAAUGCUACGGUGAAUACGUUCCCGGGCCUUGUACACACCGCCCGUCACACCAUGGGAGUGGGUUGCAAAAGAAGUAGGUAGCUUAACCUUCGGGAGGGCGCUUACCACUUUGUGAUUCAUGACUGGGGUGAAGUCGUAACAAGGUAACCGUAGGGGAACCUGCGGUUGGAUCACCUCCUUACCUUAAAGAACCUGCCUUUGCAGUGCUCACACAGAUUGUCUGAUGAAAAUAGAGCAGUAAGUAAUCUCUGCAGGCUUGUAGCUCAGGUGGUUAGAGCGCACCCCUGAUAAGGGUGAGGUCGGUGGUUCAAGUCCACUCAGGCCUACCAAAUUUGCGAAGCAAAUUUGAAGAGGUUGCAAACGAUGGGGCUAUAGCUCAGCUGGGAGAGCGCCUGCUUUGCACGCAGGAGGUCUGCGGUUCGAUCCCGCAUAGCUCCACCAU